rnacentral:rRNA from 1 species
UUAUUUGCCCGGCCUAACCUUGUGUUGGGUGCGGGCCAUAAAAGGACUAUCGAAUCCAAGUCGAUGGAAGUUUGAGGCAAUAACAGGUCUGUGAUGCCCUUAGACGUUCUGGGCCGCACGCGCGCUACACUGACGGAGCCAGCGAGUUUGCCUUAGCCGAGAGGUUUGGGAAAUCUUGAGAAACUCCGUCGUGCUGGGGAUAGAGCAUUGUAAUUUUUGCUCUUCAACGAGGAAUUCCUAGUAAGCGCAAGUCAUCAGCCUGCGUAGA